UAGGCCCUGAGUUCAGGACCCAUGGUUUGCUCUCGCUGCUGGUUUCAAACAGGAACCAAGAGUGAUGUGUUUCUGUGGUCUGUUAACCGUUCAACACCCGGGGGGGAAUGGCUCAUUCGAUUGGAAGAACAUAU